CCUACGGGAGGCAGCAGUGGGGAAUCUUGCGCAAUGGGCGAAAGCCUGACGCAGCCAUGCCGCGUGUAUGAUGAAGGUCUUAGGAUUGUAAAAUACUUUCACCGGGGAAGAUAAUGACGGUACCCGGAGAAGAAGCCCCGGCUAACUUCGUGCCAGCAGCCGCGGUAAUACGAAGGGGGCUAGCGUUGCUCGGAAUUACUGGGCGUAAAGGGCGCGUAGGCGGACAGUUUAGUCAGAGGUGAAAGCCCAGGGCUCAACCUUGGAAUUGCCUUUGAUACUGGCUGUCUUGAGUUCGGGAGAGGUAAGUGGAAUGCCGAGUGUAGAGGUGAAAUUCGUAGAUAUUCGGCGGAACACCAGUGGCGAAGGCGACUUACUGGCCCGAUACUGACGCUGAGGCGCGAAAGCGUGGGGAGCAAACAGGAUUAGAUACCCUGGUAGUCCACGCUGUAAACGAUGAGAGCUAGUUGUCGGUGUGCAUGCACAUCGGUGACGCAGCUAACGCAUUAAGCUCUCCGCCUGGGGAGUACGGUCGCAAGAUUAAAACUCAAAGGAAUUGACGG
rnacentral:rRNA from 1 species